rnacentral:sRNA from 1 species
GCAAAAGGCUGUAGAUACUGAGGGGGACAGCCAUUUUUGCUGUCUUCCACAGAAGGCAAGGGAGUAAGCCUUGUGGGUGUAUGGUGCUGGAAGGGAUGGGUGAAGAGUGGAGGAGGUGGCAGAGUAUUCCAGGUAGAGAGAAUACUCUGUGCAGAGGCUCUGUGAGAGUGUACUGGUGUUAGAAGAACAGAGGCUAGAGUGUCUCAAAUGGAGUAAGUGAGGAGAGAGUUGUAGGAGAUGAAACCAGGGAGAAACAAGGACAAAAUCAGGAAGAGGUUUCUUUUUGCCAUAAUUAGGACUUGGGCUUUUGAUCAGAGAAAUGAGGUUUCCCCCUUGUUUUUUCACAUAGAUGUCUGACAUCUCUUCCUCGUGUGCUCUACCACAGGAAAACCAUCCCCUUGGUUAUCCGUUGAUACUGCCUUGUAUAUUCUCAAGGAAAAUGAGAGUCAAGCAAAUCUACAGCUUGUGUGUUUUACCGAACUACGAAAUAGAGAAGGUCUACUUUAUCAGAUAUAUUUGAAGUAAUUGAUUUAGAUGGAAAUGGUCUUCUUAGCCUUGAAGAAUAUAAUUUUUUUGAAUUGAGAACAAGUGGUGAGAAAUGUGAUGAAGAUGCUUGGGCUGUCUGCAGAGAGAAUUUUGAUACAAAGAGGAAUGAACUAACGAGACAAGGAUUUAUGGAUUUGAAUCUAAUGGAAGCUAAUGAUCGAGAAGGAGAUCCUUGUGACCUUUGGGUAACUCUACACUCUAUGGGCUACAAUAAAGCUCUGGAGUUGACAGAGGCAUGUCCAUUUGUCAUUGAUAUCUAUGCAGAAAAAUGCAAGCCAAAAAUUAAAGCUGUCCAUAUGGAGGCAUGUAGUGGACAACUUGAGAAGGCCAUUUGUAAAUCUGUUCUUAGCAACGGUGAUGCCAAAGUAAUGGAUGGCUAUGAAAAUAUAAUCGUGCAUACUUACAGUUGUGACACCUGGAUAACGUCAGUUAUUGAAAACAAGUCAGAUGAGAAAGUGAUUAUUCACAUCAACAAUGAGCUAAGUAAAAACUGCAUAAACAACAGAGGACUCAACAUAUUUGCAGUAGAAGUGGGACCCAAAUCUACAAUG